GUUUUGGAGAUGGCAGCAUUUGGAAGCAAUCCGGAGAAGGACUUGGAUCUAUGCAUUGUUUCACAAGUAGAUUUUGCUGCAAAACCAGCACUCAGAGAAGUGCUGUGGCCUCAGUGUUGCCUUAGGGGAAUUUCUCCUUUCCCACCCAGCUCAGCAGCAAUAUUUUCAGUCAAGAAUGGUGAUGGACACGGGAUAUCAAUCACAGGGGCCCUCAUGAAACUUCCCAGUAAUAAACCAGGUGAAGUUCUGUGGUCCAACCAACACUGCUCAAGGAAUUUGAACAUCAAGGCAUUCUGGUGAUCAGCUGCUGCAUGGUUCUACCAUCUAAAAUAACAGGAGCAUAAAUCAGGAAAAAACCCACCAGGCCGACUCAGAACUUUGCCACACAAUUCAAGAUGCUGCCUGGGGUGAUUGUCAGAGGUCACUGGUGACAAAGUGACUGGUGAGAAGGGGAAGGAGGCGAUAAGUAAGAGGUAUGACAUUCUGGCCAAAACCUUUGAGGCAGAAAUCCUCCCUGAAGAAAAACAAAUUGACCCAGAGUGAAGAUAUCCACAGAGUGAAACAGAAAAAUAAAUAUAAGGCUGGAACUUCAGCAGAAUCUCCCAGUUUUCACAUGAUUAUCUCCAUCUCUGCCUUUGAUAGCUUUGUGUCCAAUUCACUCUGGAUUUGAACUGGUUCACAUUCCUUGAAAAUCUGCUUUGGAUGCUGCCAAA